GUCAGAUUCGUGGGUGAAUGUAGACUGCAAUCAACUUAAAAGAUAGGCAUUCAUGUUGGUGCGAAACUCCAGUUGUCGUUCGUGGAGCAAGUGAUCGUGCAGGACCACGUCAAACUGAGGUGCAAGGACUGGUCGUCGAGUUAGUGGUCAGCUGCUACUUGUGGGUUUGUUGUGUGGCCAACGACGAACAAGACCGAAGGAGG
rnacentral:misc_RNA from 1 species